rnacentral:sRNA from 1 species
AAUUUGAAAGUAAGUCCCAAGCUCUUGACCCCUCAAAGAGAAUGCUGGAGACAUGAAUUGGGUCUGCCUUACAAACAUACAAACACAUUUAUUUACUUGGCAGACGUACCUGAGAAUGAGAGGUGUGAAUCUGGGGUGGAACCCAGGAACACUGAUUUCUGGAAAAGAGUUUGGAUGGUGGUAGUAAAGGGGAUAUGGCUGUGGCUCUUCCCUUUUUGCUCCAGGAAGUGGACAAAAUUAUCCUACAGAUGAUGCGAGUGGCUGAAUACCUGGAUUGGGAUGUGUCUGAGCUGAGGCCGAUUCUUCAGGAGAUGAUGAAAGAGAUUGACUAUGAUGGCAGUGGCUCUGUCUCUCAAGCUGAGUGGGUCCGGGCUGGGGCCACCACCGUGCCACUGCUAGUGCUGCUGGGUCUGGAGAUGACUCUGAAGGACGAUGGACAGCACAUGUGGAGGCCCAAGAGGUUCCCCAGACCAGUCUACUGCAAUCUGUGCGAGUCAAGCAUUGGUCUUGGCAAACAGGGACUGAGCUGUAACCGUGAGUAAUGGGAGCUGGGAGGUAGGGGAAGAGGGUCAGCCCAGCUAUCUGUGGGAGCUUGACGCUGUAAACUUAGAAAGACCUA